UUACAGCCCAGUAAGAAUUCCUACACAUCCAUACCAACACAAUAAUAAUAUGAAUUUGAAAACCACGACAAAUCGAUGCACAUUUCAUGAAAUCAUAAACAGUUUCCAAAAGACUCAAAUAAUCAAUAUAAUUACGUACAUCAACAUCAAUGAAAGUCCAUAAUUAUACAUCAAACAUCAAUGAAAGUCCAGCCACACAAGAAUGAUAUAGU
rnacentral:lncRNA from 1 species